ACAUUUCUACUACCAAAACAAAUACACAUUAAUAAACAUAAUUUUUAAAUUAUUAAAUAAUCAUAGAAAUUAUAGCUAGUUUGAGCUUUGCAAAUCCACUUGUCACCACCAUGCAAAAUUCUCAAAUGAGAGAAAAUAAAACGCGUAGAAAUUAAAAGAUGACGCGAUCAAUGAUCAAGAUGGGUAAUCUUGAGCUUUUAGUGAUGCUCUGUUAUAUAAGUUGAUCUAUCGUUUCAUAAUUCAUUUCUUUCACUCUCUCUCUCUCUAACAGAUUUUGGCUCUCGUUUUCUUUCUCCAUCUCUCUCUCUCUGCUUUGCUCACGUAAACAUGGAAGAUCAAGAACCUUUAGAGAUUCAUCAGCACGACUUUGCUCCGUCGGAUUCUCAUCUCGAGAACGACGACGAAGUAAUGUGUUUCAGAGAGGUCUCCUACUCCGAUCUCAAGACGGCGACCAAGAACUUCAGUUCCGACGAGAUUGUAUCGGAGAAAGCAGAGGAAUCAUCCAAUAUCAUCUACAAGGGCGAAUCACAGAGCUCCGGCUCCAUUGCUGUCAAGUACUUCAAGAACAUGGCUUGGCCUUAUCGUGAUCAGUUUGCGGAAGAGGCACGAAAAGUGGGGAAGAUUAGGCACAAGGGAGUCGUGAAGAUGAUUGGAUGUUGCUGUGAUGGAGAUGAAAGGUUUCUUGUUGCAGAGUUUUUGCCAAAUGAUACUCUUGCUAAGCGUUUCUUGCAACAGGAGAAUCACACCAUGGAAUGAUCAUAGCUGAAGCUUUGGAUCAUUGUAGUACUGUAGGUUUUACAUCUUACAAUAAUUUAAAUGCCUACACGGUUCCCUUUGAUGAGGAGGGUGAUGCCUGUCUUUCGUGUUUUGGCUUGAUGAAAGAGAGAAAGGAUGAUCAAAGCACACACAACAGGAAGCGUUGUGAACCCUGAAAGUAUGACAUACAGAUUUGGUUAUUUUCUCUUAACUUUGCUAACGGGAAAGCAAAUUCCUUUAGACCUUUCUAUACUUGAAAAGGAUGUCAUUGAGCUAAUGGAUCCAAAUUUAGAGGGCGAGCUCUCAAUGUCUGCAAUACAAUGAUAGACUCAACAUCACUGAGCUUACUGCAAAACUUGAACUCUUGCAAAAUAAAGCACAACAGGAGGAGGGAGCAUCUUCAAGUCCACAGGAACAACUUGCACCUUUGCAACGUCCCCCCACAAAACCAGCAACCAGAGUUGCAGGAUUUCGCCGGUCUGUUCCCAGACGCGAACAGAAGACGACUCCUAUUCAGAGCGAUGAAGAGAUACAAGCGCAAAACAGAGAGAAACUCGAACAAAUGCAGAUGAGAGAAGUUCAAAAGGCUAAAAACCAGCUUGAAAAGCCUAAAGCUAAGAACAAAAUGGGACCUAGCAAACCUGGCCAGUCCACAAAGCCAAGAAGGAAUCAGUUUUAGGAGGGUUUUAUUGGAUACAUGAAUUCAUCAUUCUAUCUACCAGACUUUAAGAAAUUGUAUUUUGCAUUGAGAUAAUGAUGGUAACUUAACCCGGAAGAGCUCUAACACCUGA